AACUCCGUUUCCUUUAGGUGUCGGAUGUGCUCAGGGAGAUACUCCGCAUGGAAGGCAGCUAGGAACUGCUCCCAAGUGACUGGUGUAGGCAGGGUGGUCUGCUUGAGCUCCCACCAACGUCUUGCUUCUCCUACCAGCAUGAAGGAAGCAAGGGCAGCUCUCUGCUCAGGAACUACUCCCAAGAUCCUGAAAGCUCUCUCAGUCUCCGCCAGCCAGUACUGGGCCUCUUCAAAAGAGGAUCCCCCUGCAAAAGUGGAAGGGUUCAGUCUCCUGUACCUCUCUAUGUAGCCUGGGU
rnacentral:lncRNA from 1 species